AAUUGUAGUAUCGGUGAAGAUGCCGAUUACCCGCAGUGGGACGAAAAGACCCCGUGAACCUUUACUAUAGCUUAGUAUUGACUUUGGAUAAGUAAUGUGUAGGAUAGGUGGGAGACUAUGAAGUGACGUCGCCAGGCGUUGUGGAGUCAUUGUUGAAAUACCACCCUUUGCUUAUCUAGAGUCUAACCUCUUACGAGGGACAGUGCUUGGUGGGUAGUUUGACUGGGGUGGUCGCCUCCAAAA
rnacentral:rRNA from 1 species